rnacentral:rRNA from 1 species
ACUCCUACGGGAGGCAGCAGUGGGGAAUAUUGCACAAUGGGCGCAAGCCUGAUGCAGCCAUGCCGCGUGUAUGAAGAAGGCCUUCGGGUUGUAAAGUACUUUCUAGUCGUGAGGAAGGCGGCGUCGUUAAUAGCGGCGUUGUUUGACGUUAGCGACAGAAGAAGCACCGGCUAACUCCGUGCCAGCAGCCGCGGUAAUACGGAGGGUGCGAGCGUUAAUCGGAAUUACUGGGCGUAAAGCGCAUGCAGGUGGUUUGUUAAGUCAGAUGUGAAAGCCCGGGGCUCAACCUCGGAAUUGCAUUUGAAACUGGCAGACUAGAGUACUGUAGAGGGGGUAGAAUUUCAGGUGUAGCGGUGAAAUGCGUAGAGAUCUGAAGGAAUACCGGUGGCGAAGGCGGCCCCUGGACAGAUACUGACACUCAGAUGCGAAAGCGUGGGAGCAAACAGGAUUAGAUACCCCGUGGUAGGACAGUG